rnacentral:rRNA from 1 species
CGGUGUUUGACUGGCGUGAUGUGGGACGUCCUACCGGUGGGCUUAGCCUCGCGAGGGGCGGCCCAACUAAUAUCCCGUCGCGGUGCUCUUUACUGAGUGUCGAGUCGGGCCGGUACGUUUACUUUGAACAAAUUAGAGUGCUUAAAGCAGGCUAUCCUCGCCUGAAUACUGCGUGCAUGGAAUAAUGGAAUAGGACCUCGGUUCUAUUUUGUUGGUUUUCGGAACCCCGAGGUAAUGAUUAAUAGGGACAGAUGGGGGCAUUCGUAUUGCGACGUUAGAGGUGAAAUUCUUGGAUCGUCGCAAGACGGACAGAAGCGAAAGCAUUUGCCAAAAAUGUUUUCAUUAAUCAAGAACGAAAGUUAGAGGUUCGAAGGCGAUCAGAUACCGCCCUAGUUCUAACCAUAAACGAUGCCAGCUAGCGAUCCGCCGAAGUUCCUCCGAUGACUCGGCGGGCAGCUUCCGGGAAACCAAAGCUUUUGGGUUCCGGGGGAAGUAUGGUUGCAAAGCUGAAACUUAAAGGAAUUGACGGAAGGGCACCACCAGGAGUGGAGCCUGCGGCUUAAUUUGACUCAACACGGGAAACCUCACCAGGCCCAGACACCGGAAGGAUUGACAGAUUGAUAGCUCUUUCUUGAUUCGGUGGGUGGUGGUGCAUGGCCGUUCUUAGUUGGUGGAGCGAUUUGUCUGGUUAAUUCCGAUAACGAACGAGACUCUAGCCUGCUAAAUAGGCGUACCUUAUGGUAUCGCGAAGGCCCCCGGCUUCGGCCGGUGGGUUUUUACUACCAACGUACAAACAAAUCUUCUUAGAGGGACAGGCGG